GGGCUGAACUACUUGCAUGCAUAACAGUAAUCUCUUCCUGAUUUUAGUCUAAUCACCUCCAUUAUCUUUGUUUGUUGGUUAACUGCUGAGUAUUAAUGAAUUUGGUUGCUUGCUUGCCUCUAGAACUAGCUCUGUCCCGCAUCACAAACCCCCCGAUAUCAUGUCAUAGCUAUGCCGCUCUUUGGCUAACCAUUGCUUCCCUCAAUAC
rnacentral:lncRNA from 1 species